rfam:Triticum aestivum genome assembly, contig: Triticum_aestivum_CS42_TGACv1_scaffold_578116_7BL
GAUGUACUCCCUCGGUCCUAAAAUUCUUGUCUUAGAUUUGUCUAAAUACGGAUGUAUCUAGUUACAUUUUAGUGUUAAAUACAUCCGUAUCUAGACAAAUUCAAGACAAGAAUUUUGGGACGGAGGAAGUACUAA